rnacentral:tRNA from 1 species
GGGGAUGUGGCGUAAUUGGCAGCCGCACGAGUUUUAGGUAUUCGCGUCUUCGGACGUGUCGGUUCGAGUCCGACCAUCCCCA